UACGGAGGGGGCUAGCGUUGUUCGGAAUUACUGGGCGUAAAGCGCGCGUAGGCGGACCUGCAAGUCGGGGGUGAAAGCCCGAGGCUCAACCUCGGAACUGCCUUCGAUACCGCGGGUCUCGAGUCCGGGAGAGGUGAGUGGAAUUCCUAGUGUAGAGGUGAAAUUCGUAGAUAUCAGGAGGAACACCUGUGGCGAAAGCGGCUCACUGGACCAUAACUGACGCUGAUGCACGAAAGCUAGGGGAGCAAACAGG
rnacentral:rRNA from 1 species